rnacentral:antisense_RNA from 1 species
UCUACUGGUAUUUCCUCACUAACACUUUUUUCUUCUACUGG